UCGGAAACGAGCCCUCUCUCUCUUUCCGUUUUCCCGGCCACCGCCCUCCACCCUCAACCCAUUCCAGAGUUUUUUAAGAGGGGAUCAUCAUCCCCAUUCCUCGUCUUCUCUCUCUCUCUCUCUCUCAUCAUCAUCGCCCCCCCUCCCUAACCCCCUCCAGAUUCAAGAAGCAGAACGGCUCCGGCGAUGAUAUCUUCGCCCGCCUCUUCGCCGCCUCCUUGGAUCCCGACUUCGCCCCCCUCUCCCUCGAACCGCGGAUCCUCAAGUCCUACCUCAUCGCCGGCGAGACCCUCUACGGCCUCUUCCUCCUGCGCUCCUCCCCGACCCUCGCCGAGAUCCCCGACCCUCGCCGCUGCCCGCACCCCAGCCAUCCUCCGCCUUCUGGAGCUCUCCACCGCCUGGGCCAAGAAGGCCCUUGAUCUCGGCCCCCAGGGACUCAUGUUCCCCAUGAUCGAGUCCCCCGGCACCACUGUUAUCCUUCUCGGUUUCCAGCACUACCUGGUUAUGCUUGGCACCACUGUUAUCAUUCCUACUGCUCUUGUUCCUCAGAUGGGUGGAGGAAAUGAUGAGAAAGCUCAGGUGAUCCAGACAUUACUGUUUGUGGCCGGCUUAAACACUCUGUUACAGACCUUAUUUGGAACUCGUUUACAAGGUCAAUUUUCUAAACCAAUUGGCUAUCUUGGUUUCUGAACAAAACACUUGAAAAUACUAAUGAGAUUUCAUGAACAGGCCUUCUAGUGUACAUUGGGACAAGUUUCUUCUCUUUAGGUUCUUCCGAAGCUUCCUGCCUUUCUUUGUGUUUGAAGUAUGUUAUCUGUUGUAAUUGGAAUGUAAUUAUGCUCUGUCAGGUUUUUAAUUUUAAGUAGGUUGAAGAAGUAUAAUAGAAGAGACGGGUCUGGACUGUCAAGUCUCUGUGAAGGAUUUGGGGUUUUGUUUGAUUUUCUUGCAUGUGCUUCUGAAGCAGAGACUGCAGGGUUGUCAUGGACGCAGAAGAUCUGUAUAUGCCAUGUCAGAAAAAUAUUUUGCAGCGUCUUGGAGGAAACAAAUAUUUGAGUAUUGUUUAUGAUAAAUAAUCUGCCAACGGAUCUAGUAACAAGCUGCUAGAAUAUGGUUUGUGCUUGUCGUUCUCAGUCAACCUCCUCCUCCUCCUUCAUCCACUCACACUAAUUAUCCAGGAUCAAUUUUUUGGGGAUGCACCAUCUGAUAAUCGAAUCGAGAACUUCUGGUUGCUAAGCAGAAGGUUGACUGCUGGGGCAGAUCCCAAUUCUAAAAAACAACUUGAUUGGUUGCAAGGAUUAAAUGGAAAGCAUUUUCCAAAUAUACGAGGAGCUGAAUUUGUUUGGGGUAUGGAGGCUGGGUGAGUUUGCCCAUCGACCAAACAGAAUUUGCUGUGUGAAGUGGCAGCCUUUGGAUGGUGGUCUUGUCAUUUGUGAAAUUAACAUUUGCCCCCAGGAUUACUUUGGCCUCUGAAGGAGAGGCUAAAACUGAGAAAAGCUAUUGCUAUUUUCUUGUGUAGCAUAAAUCAGUGCAUAGAAAUGCAUCGUUUCAUGUGAUUAAGAAUUUGUAGUCUAUCCUCAAACAUUCUGCCGCCAGGUGGUACUGCUAGUGCUUGAUUAUUGAUCGAGAUCUCUCUCUCAGUUCGACGAACCUUCGAUGCUUGAUGAUCUUUACAUCUUGCAUCUAUCUUUGUAGGAUUACUUCGGCCUAUGAAGGAGAGCCUAAAGCUAAAGAUUGCUGGUGAUCUUCUUCCAUGUGGAGUACUAAACUCAAAGGAAGGGUGGCAUCUUUCCUUAUAAUUUACUUCUACCAUAGCCUUAUUUAAACAAAACUUGAUAUUUCUGCACAUAUUUCACAGACUGGGAGAAGCUGAGAAGGCAAUUCACCAUUACAAGCUAUCACGAAAGGAAACCAGCUCUAAUGACUUCUCACAAGUUCAUGCUCUCCAGACCCAUUUGGCCAAGUGUAAUGAAGCACGUAAGCAAAAGGAUUGGCUCACUGUGUUAAAGGAAUCACAGGCUGCUGUCUCUGCUGGUGCCGAUUCUGCACCACAAGUCUUACAUUACAAUAACCUUUCAGUUUACAUGGUGGCAGAAAUUAUACCUUAUCUUGUUUCAUGUAUUAUCUUUGCCUUGAAAGUAUAUAUGCCCAAGCUUCCUUAUCUAUUUCCUUGUCCAAAUUGAUUCAUUAUUUCAAAAUGUUAGUUUUUACUUAA